CUGAGAUACUAGACAAACAUAGCAUUUACCUCACACUUUUUUAAGUCAUGCAUUUAUGCGUGAAUCGUUUUUUGAGUAAAGACCAGUGGCGAAUAUUUCUGUGUACGUCAAGUCGAUUCGGGAAGACCUUUUCAAAUGAAUUAGGCAGCAACUAUUUACUUCAUUUUUUGUGGAGGGGGAGGGGGCGUGAGCUAUUGAUUUUUUUCAGGACAAAUUUUGGUGACAAGUCGAAAUCAAUUUUAGCAUUAUAUAUAGUGGCAGCUCAG
rnacentral:lncRNA from 1 species